rnacentral:rRNA from 1 species
UACGAAGGGGGCUAGCGUUGCUCGGAAUCACUGGGCGUAAAGGGCGCGUAGGCGGACGUUUAAGUCAGAGGUGAAAGCCCAGGGCUCAACCCUGGAAUUGCCUUUGAUACUGGGCGUCUUGAGACCGGAAGAGGUAAGUGGAACUGCGAGUGUAGAGGUGAAAUUCGUAGAUAUUCGCAAGAACACCAGUGGCGAAGGCGGCUUACUGGUCCGGUUCUGACGCUGAGGCGCGAAAGCGUGGGGAGCAAACAGG